rnacentral:rRNA from 1 species
GAUGAACGCUGGCGGCGUGCCUAAUACAUGCAAGUCGAGCGAACGGACGAGAAGCUUGCUUCUCUGAUGUUAGCGGCGGACGGGUGAGUAACACGUGGAUAACCUACCUAUAAGACUGGGAUAACUUCGGGAAACCGGAGCUAAUACCGGAUAAUAUUUUGAACCGCAUGGUUCAAAAGUGUAAGACGGUCUUGCUGUCACUUAUAGAUGGAUCCGCGCUGCAUUAGCUAGUUGGUAAGGUAACGGCUUACCAAGGCAACGAUGCAUAGCCGACCUGAGAGGGUGAUCGGCCACACUGGAACUGAGACACGGUCCAGACUCCUACGGGAGGCAGCAGUAGGGAAUCUUCCGCAAUGGGCGAAAGCCUGACGGAGCAACGCCGCGUGAGUGAUGAAGGUCUUCGGAUCGUAAAACUCUGUUAGUAGGGAAGAACAUAUGUGUAAGUAACUGUGCACAUCUUGACGGUACCUAAUCAGAAAGCCACGGCUAACUACGUG